AAGCCAAUGAGGACUAACUUGAAUUGGAAUUACCGGCUGAAAAUUAUUAUCUUGAUGUCAAAUUCUGGCUUACUGAGGCUUCCG